AUUGAACGCUAGCGGGAUGCUUUACACAUGCAAGUCGAACGGAGUGGCGGACGGGUGAGUAAUAUCUCGGAACGUGCCCAGUAGCGGGGGAUCACUACUCGAAAGAGUGGCUAAUCCCGCAUACUAUUGGAGCGGCCGAUAUCGGAUUAGCUAGUUGGUGGGGUAAAGGCUCACAAAGGCCACGCUCCGUAGCUGGUUUGAGAGGACGACCAGCCACACUGGGACUGAGACACGGCCCAGACUCCUACGUGAGGCGGCAGGGGGUAAUUUUGGACAAUGGGGGAAACCCUGAUGCAGCCAUCCCGCGUGUAUGAGGAGGGCCUUCGGGUUGUAAAGUACGUUUGGCAGAGAAGCGGUAUCUGCAGAAGAAGCACCGGCUAACUACGUGCCAGCAGCCGCGGUAAUAC
rnacentral:rRNA from 1 species